GCGGUUAUAGUACAGUGGCUAGUAUACUCGCCUGUCACGUGAGUGACCCGGGUUCGAUUCCCGGUAACCGCG
rnacentral:tRNA from 1 species